CCUACGGGCGGCAGCAGUGAGGAAUAUUGGUCAAUGGACGAGAGUCUGAACCAGCCAAGUAGCGUGAAGGAUGACUGCCCUAUGGGUUGUAAACUUCUUUUAUAUGGGAAUAAAACGUUCCACGUGUGGGAUUUUGUAUGUAUCAUAUGAAUAAGGAUCGGCUAACUCCGUGCCAGCAGCCGCGGUAAUACGGAGGAUCCGAGCGUUAUCCGGAUUUAUUGGGUUUAAAGGGAGCGUAGGUGGAUUGUUAAGUCAGUUGUGAAAGUUUGCGGCUCAACCGUAAAAUUGCAGUUGAAACUGGCAGUCUUGAGUACGGUAGAGGUGGGCGGAAUUCGUGGUGUAGCGGUGAAAUGCUUAGAUAUCACGAAGAACUCCGAUUGCGAAGGCAGUUCACUGGACUGCAACUGACACUGAGGCUCGAAAGUGUGGGUAUCAAACAGGAUUAGAUACCCGAGUAGUC
rnacentral:rRNA from 1 species